rnacentral:lncRNA from 10 species
UGACAGUUUUCUUUCUAUGUGGCAAUAGGGAAAUUUGCUGGGGCAUCUCAGGAUAACAACCUAAAGCUGAAGGCCUGAUCUCACUUUGUUCCCUUCGCAUUUUCAAUUCAUGAAAGAGAGCAUUUGAUGAAGCUGUUUGGAGCAAAUUGGUGUGAGUCAUCUCUUUUUGCCUUGUUUGCACCAGCCAUCUCGGAGGUGUCUGGACUGCUUCAGGUCCAGCCUAUGUAGGUUUCUUCUCCCUUAUGCACACCUCCUGCUAUAAUCUGAUGUGGUUAGAGUGGGAAGCAGCUGACUCUGCCUUCCUAAGACGCUGAGAAAAACUGAGACAGAAAAAAGCAUUCAGGAUAUAGGCAUUCCUCAAAAGCUACCUUCCAUUAGAGCUACCUGCCAAAUUUUGGAUGGCAGCACCCCAAGAUGAAAGGAGCUUGGAUCCCCAAGUCAUUAUUUGGAGGAGAGCCUCUGCAAAGAACUGCCUGCUGUGCACUGGACUGUGAGAUUUUUAGAAGAGGCCAUUUUAUAAGGAAGACACUUUCAUUGAAUGUGUUUUCCAAGAGAACUGUUGCUAACAGUAUGUUACUUAUGUGUCCUUCGUAAUUCCCAUGUGCUUGUCCCAUGAAUAGAUCUCACUCUGUUCCCAAGAGCAACAAACCAUUCACAACAAGACCUGAUGAAAACAAGUUAUUUUCAAAUUGAUUUUCCUUUCUGUAAAAAGCUCUUAUCAUCCAAUUUACUAAAAAAUUUCUUCUAAUUAAAGGCUCAUUAUUU